rnacentral:rRNA from 1 species
GCUAAUUCUAGCCCAAACCAUAAACUAUUAUACUAUCUAAUCAUACCAAUUAAAUCAUUUACCCAUUACAAAAGUAUAGGUGAUAGAAAUUGAACUUAGGCGCAAUAGAUACAGUACCGCAAGGGAAAGACAAAUCCUCACAAAGCAUAAAAAAGCAAAGAUAAACCCUUCUACCUUUUGCAUAAUGAAUUAACUAGAAACUAUAUUGUACAAAGAACUUCAACAAUACUCCCCGAAACCAAGCGAGCUACCCACGGACAGCUAAAGAGCAUACCCGUCUAUGUGGCAAAAUAGUGGGAAGAUCUAUGGGUAGAGGCGACAAACCUACCGAGCUUGGUGAUAGCUGGUUAUCCAAGACAGAAUUUCAGUUCAACAUUAAAUUUACUUACAGAACUCCCAAUCCCCUCGUAAAUUUAAUAGCUAUUCUAAAGAGGGACAGCUCUUUAGACAAUAGGAAACAACCUUAUAUAGAGAGUAAAACACCUAACUACUACAGUAGGCUUUAAAGCAGCCACCAAUUAAGAAAGCGUUCAAGCUCAACACCCUCACUCCUCUAAUUCCACCCAUUUUACUGAACUCCUAUAACAUAUUGGAUUAAUCUAUUUCCAAAUAGAAGUAAUAAUGUUAGUAUAAGUAACAUGAAAUUAUUCUCCCUGCAUAAGCUUAUCCCAGACCGGAACUACCACUGCUAGUUAACAGCCAAAUCACCUUAUCCCACAACUUCAUCCGCCCAUUAUCCUAACUGUUAACCCAACACAGGCAUGCUAUUCAGGAAAGAUUAAAAAAAGUAAAAGGAACUCGGCAAACUCUACCCCCGCCUGUUUACCAAAAACAUCACCUCUAGCAUAAAUAGUAUUAGAGGCACUGCCUGCCCAGUGACACAUGUUCAACGGCCGCGGUACCCUGACCGUGCAAAGGUAGCAUAAUCACUUGUUCUCUAAAUAAGGACUUGUAUGAACGGCCACACGAGGGUUUAACUGUCUCUUACUUUUAAUCAGUGAAAUUGACCUAUCCGUGAAGAGGCGGAUAUAUUUAAAUAAGACGAGAAGACCCUAUGGAGCUUUAAUUUAAUAGUACAAACUAGUAGCUUAAAAACCCACAGGCAUUAAAUUACAAUCCAUGUACUAUAAAUUUCGGUUGGGGUGACCUCGGAGCAUAAUUCAACCCCCGAGAAAUAUAUACCAAGACCUUACUAGUCUAAGUGAACCUAAAUUCAUUGACCCAAUAAAUUGAUCAACGGACCAAGUUACCCUAGGGAUAACAGCGCAAUCCUAUUACAGAGUCCAUAUCGACAAUAGGGUUUACGACCUCGAUGUUGGAUCAAGACAUCCUAGUGGUGCAGCCGCUACUAAAGGUUCGUUUGUUCAACGAUUAAAGUCUUACGUGAUCUGAGUUCAGACCGGAGCAAUCCAGGUCGGUUUCUAUCUAUUAAAUAUUUCUCCCAGUACGAAAGGACAAGAGAAAUAGGGCCCACCUUUCAUAAGCGCCCUCACAAACCUAAUGACUUCCAUCUUAAUUUUAUAAUUUUUUCAACCCGCCCUAAACCAGGGCUU